GAACUUAAGCAUAUCAAUAAGCGGAGGAAAAGAAACUAACGAGGAUUCCCCUAGUAACUGCGAGUGAAGCGGGAAAAGCUCAAAUUUUAAAUCUGGCGGUCCCUGGCCGUCCGAGUUGUAAUCUAGAGAAGCGUCUUCCGCGCUGGACCGUGUACAAGUCU
rnacentral:rRNA from 1 species